UCCUAGCCCUGAUAGAAGUGGAAAUCCUUUUAUUUUUUUUCUUUAAAAAAAUAAAAGAUUGAAACGGAUAGCAGGAAAUAGC
rnacentral:sRNA from 1 species